GACGAACCGUGCGAACGUUGUUCGGAAUCACUGGGCUUAAAGGGCGCGUAGGCGGGCAGGCGAGUCCGGGGUGAAAGCCCACGGCCCAACCGCGGAAGUGCCCCGGAUACCGGCUGCCUCGAGGGAGGUAGGGGUCGGCGGAACUUCCGGUGGAGCGGUGAAAUGCGUAGAUAUCGGAAGGAACGCCGGUGGCGAAAGCGGCCGACUGGACCUCUUCUGACGCUGAGGCGCGAAAGCCAGGGGAGCGAACGGGAUUAGAAACCCUAGUAGUCC
rnacentral:rRNA from 1 species